ACUUUCUCGAUGGUCCCGGGCAGCAGGCGCUCCAGCAGCCUGCAGAGGACCACCCCAUCCUUCAGAGACGCCUGCAGGAAGCCCUCCGGGUCCGAGAUGGUUUUCUUGGGCGACUCCAGCACCCCCAAGGAGCUGCAGGAGAGAGAAUGGUCCAGGGUCCUGUUCUCGAGGUGGAGGGGGAGAGGCAGAGCAGUAAACAGUUCCUUCAUGGAUUCUGCUGAAGUGCAUCUUGCGAUCAUAAUAAGAACCACAAGGACCGGUCCAGCUGCAACAUCGGUUCCAGUCGGGAAACCAUCUGUGGGGUCCUUGCCACAGGUAAUAUGGGCUCAGGUGAGCGCCCCAGGCACU